GGCUGGUCUGAUGGCAGUGGGUUAUCAGAACUUAUUAACAUUAGUGUCACUAAAGUUGGUAUACCACCCCCACCCCCACUGCUAAAUUUGACUGGCUUUAA
ensembl:misc_RNA Y_RNA Y RNA